rnacentral:rRNA from 1 species
AUGACGAUCAAUAAGAGCCAAGGGCAGACUUUGUCUAAGAUAUGUGUAUAUUUACGAGAGCCGGUAUUUUCGCAUGGACAACGGUAUGUUGCAGUAUCGCGCGUUUCUUCACGGAGUGGUCUCAAGUUCUUGAUUGAGGAUGAUCAUGGAUGUCCAUCUUUUGAGACUAGGAAUGUAGUUUAUAGAGAGAUUAUCCUAAGACUGUAG